AAUUAAAUUUAACCCAUCAUUUUACCAGGAUUUGUCAGAAAUGACUCAUAAAAGAAGAAUAAAGGCUUUGGGAUGCCUCUAUAGACCAGCACUCCUACUUUUCUUCAGCUGGAUUACAUUGAUGUCCUGCUAAAGUUAACAUGCCUGAAAAAAUGCAGAUAUGAAUACACCUCAAAGUUUGGAUAAAUUGGACAACAAUUUCAAGGCUACUCAGGAGAAUAUGAUCAUGUAUGCUUGUGGAUGCUGGGAGGAUCUGAUGUCAACAUUAAAAACUGAUGGAGAAAAGAGAGAACCAAGCUGAUCAAGUUGGAAAAAAUUGCAUAUCCCAAGACCUCUUCCACUGGACUCGUACCAAGACGUGAGAAUAAACUGUAUGCACAAAUGCCUGGCAAUCUAAUGCAGUAA